CGCCGCGCUGGGGGGGAAGGGGCGUGGCCUCAGGUGGCGCUGCGAGGCGGGCGGAAGGAGCGGGCGCGAGCGGCAGCGCAGUGCUUUGACCUCCUUUGCUGUGAAAGCCCUUCAGCUGUGGCUGGGAGAAUGAGCUCUCUGAAGAUGUCUGGUGUGUAUUGCUUCAAACUGUCUGAACACUCACUGUUUAACUGCUGAAAGCUUUCCUGCCGUUUAUUUUUCUCCUGAAGCUUUAACCUAUUGAGGGAUCAGAAUUGGCUGCUAUGGAAUCAAGACCAACUAAAACAUGAGAAGCUGUGUGUAUGCAAGAUGAUCCAUCCAGAAGAUUUUUCACUUCAUAGAAAUCUUAUUUUUGUUUAUUAUGUAAUAUAAUCUGACAAAGCCAAGUUCAAUUAAUUAUCCCAAAGUUAAGACACACCUGUGGCCUUCAUCGGAAAUGUUUCUAACAUUCUCAAGGAAAAAUAUGUCCCAGAAACUGAGUAUGUUUUUACUAAUUUUUGGAAUCAUUUGGGGUUUGAUGUUGCUACGCUACACUUUCCAGUAUCCAAGACGUCAAAGCAGCGCUGAGUUGCGUGGACAGAUACUAGAUCUAAGUAAAAGAUAUGUCAAAGCGCUGGCAGAAGAAAAUAAAAAUUUAAUGAAUGGUGGCGGUGGAGCCUCUAUGGCAGGAUAUGCUGAUCUUAAGAGAACGAUUGCUGUUCUUCUGGAUGACAUCUUACAACGCCUUGUGAAAUUGGAAAACAAAGUUGAUUACAUUGUCGUGAAUGGCUCAGCAACAAAUACCACCAAUGGAACUAGCAAUCAGAUGCCAGUAACUUCAAAUAAACGUGUAAAAGCAGCAAGCAACGUUAGAUAGCAAACAGGGCUGCUUCGUGUUGCUACAUCUAUGAUAGGUAAUAUUUAAGAUAAGCUUUUUGUCUCUGGCUAGAGCAAAGCAGUAGUUGACUCUAAAUGAAGCGUAAACCGUUCUAUUAUGCAAUGUGCUGGAUCUGUGUAGGCCUAACUCAUGUGCAUAGGUUCUCAAAGCAUUAUUUCAUUGCCUUUGAGCAGUACUUCUGAAGUGAUCCUUGUUGUCUUUAAAGAUAUUUUGGUAUGAUUUGAUGUAGUAUGCUAUUGGAUAAUAAACAGAAAGCAAUGGAGAACUUAUAGGUAGGUUUCUAAAUAUAUUUAUUUAAGUAUAAAUAUAACAUCUCUUUUGGAUAGGUGAGCAGUAUUGUAGCUUAUUCAUUUUUUGUGACCUGCAUUAAGCCGAGGUAACUGAGGAAGAUGCGUUGUUAAACAGAUGCUAGAAAAUGUGUAUACAUAUAAUAUUUUGCUACGCAUUUACUAAAACAAUAUUAAAUUGAGGAUAGCAUUGGGGUAAUAUUUAAAAAAUGUGACCCAAAGAAUGUCUUUAUUUGCACUAUCUGUCAGAAUCGCUAGAGUGAAUUUACUGUAUAUUUAAGAAAAUUAAUUAUAAUAGGAAGACACCCUAGGUUCUGCACUGUCUAGGUAUAUCUUUAUGCCAGAGUUAGAGCAGUUAGAUUAUCAAAAGCAAAUAAUAAUCUGUGAUACCUUAGGUGAUUAUUUCUUACAAAGCUAUUUAAGUGUAUGUAUUUUGUAAUCGCAGAUAAAAUUAUUUAAGUGAUGGAAAUAAGUUUUGGAUAUGUGAAUGCUGUUUAUUUUUUUCAUUGCUGUUUCUUUUUAACUUUUUAGUACCUUGCAAUUUGUGAUGAGUAUAGCACACCGUCUCCCUGAAUUGCUUUUUUGAUCAGGAGGAAAAGCAAUGAAGGGACAAGGCACCUCUGCAUUUAACAGGUUAAAGAUGAGGGGAGAAAGAAAUAAAAAGAAAAGAAAAUGCCUGGUUUAGAUCUUUAAUGGUGAAGACUUCAGUCUUUAAUUUAAUGGCGAAGACUUCAAUCUUCAAGAGUGAAGAAGAUGCAUGUAUAACUUCUUUUGAACCUGCAAUUUUCUAUUGACAAUGUGAAAACAGGUUUUUGUAUCUCUCUCUCUCUCUCUCUCUCUCUGCUUUUUAUUCUCUGUGUGCUUGAUUGGUACCAACAAAAAACUCGAUGGGCUCUAUCCCUUUGUGCUACAAACAGUAAUAAAUGCCAUCACCACCUCGUUUAACAUUUUGUUUUGGUUUUGUUUUUUAAAUCUUUUCUGUAAAUUAUAGAACAGACUUGACUUUUCCCAGCUGUAAUUUGCCUCGUGUUUACCAGCUGAUUUCUGUGCCUGUGAGUGACUGUUUAAUGUGGGUAGCAAAAAAUGAGAGUGAGAUUGGCUCUCAAGCAAAAGUUCUAAUGAAGAAAAUGGAAAGGAAAGAGUAUCUUGGUUGCUGUCUAAACAGCUAGAAGCACCACAGGUCUCAAUACAGCUCUAAAUUCUACAACUAAUAACUAGUAGGAAAAAAGUAUUUUAGGGAAGAUUGUUAUGGAAACAUCAGCAUAAGAAAGAUAUGGAGCUGUUGGAACGGGUCUAUAAAGGGCUACAAAAUGAUCAAAGGGCUGGAGCACCUUCUGUACGGGGACAGGCUGAGAGUUUGGGUUGUUCAGCCUGGAGAAGAGAAGGCUCUGAGGAGACCUUAUAGCAACCUUCUAGUAUCUGAAAGGGGCUACAAGAAAGGUGGGGAGGGACUGUUCACAAAGGCUUGGAGUGAUAGGGCUAAGGGCAAUGGGUAUAAACUGGAGAGGGACACAUUUAGACUAGACA